UACGUAGGGUGCAAGCGUUGUCCGGAAUUAUUGGGCGUAAAGAGCUCGUAGGCGGUCUGUCGCGUCGGAUGUGAAAAUCCAGGGCUCAACCCUGGACCUGCAUUCGAUACGGGCAGACUAGAGUUCGGUAGGGGAGACUGGAAUUCCUGGUGUAGCGGUGGAAUGCGCAGAUAUCAGGAAGAACACCGGUGGCGAAGGCGGCUAUCUGGCCAUGUACUGACGCUGAGACACGAAAGCGUGGGGAGCGAACAGG
rnacentral:rRNA from 1 species